rnacentral:rRNA from 1 species
GAUAAACGCUGGCGGCGCACAUAAGACAUGCAAGUCGAACGGACUUAACUCAUUCUUUUAGAUUGAGGGCGGUUAGUGGCGGACUGGUGAGUAACGCGUGAGUAACCUGCCUAUUAGAGGGGAAUAACAGUGAGAAAUCAUUGCUAAUACCGCAUAAGCUGAAAGAAUCGCAUGAUUCAGUCAGAAAAGGAGCAAUCCGCUAAUAGAUGGACUCGCGUCUGAUUAGCUAGUUGGUGGGGUAAAGGCCUACCAAGGCAACGAUCAGUAGCCGAACUGAGAGGUUGAACGGCCACAUUGGGACUGAGAUACGGCCCAG